rnacentral:rRNA from 1 species
GUGGGGAAUCUUGCGCAAUGGGCGAAAGCCUGACGCAGCCAUGCCGCGUGAAUGAUGAAGGUCUUAGGAUUGUAAAAUUCUUUCACCGGGGACGAUAAUGACGGUACCCGGAGAAGAAGCCCCGGCUAACUUCGUGCCAGCAGCCGCGGUAAUACGAAGGGGGCUAGCGUUGCUCGGAAUUACUGGGCGUAAAGGGCGCGUAGGCGGACAGUUUAGUCAGAGGUGAAAGCCAAGGGCUCAACCUUGGAAUUGCCUUUGAUACUGGCUGUCUUGAGUACGGGAGAGGUGAGUGGAACUCCGAGUGUAGAGGUGAAAUUCGUAGAUAUUCGGAAGAACACCAGUGGCGAAGGCGACUCACUGGCCCGUUACUGACGCUGAGGCGCGAAAGCGUGGGGAGCAAACAGGAUUAGAAACCCGAGUAGUCC